UGGUUUCCCACUGUGGGCUCUGCCUGCAUGUGCCUGCCAGAGGACCAAACUCUGAAUGUUAGUGAUGUCUGAGUACUAUAUAAUAGUUAAAACUUUCAACAACGGAUCUCUUGGUUCUGGCAUCGAUGAAGAACGCAGCGAAAUGCGAUAAGUAAUGUGAAUUGCAGAAUUCAGUGAAUCAUCGAAUCUUUGAACGCACAUUGCACCCGGUGGUAUUCCGCCGGGUAUGCUUGUUCGAGCGUCAUUAUAACCACUCAAGCCUGUCUUGGUGUUGGGGAUUGCGAAUUUUGCAGCCCUAGAGUCCAGUAGCGUCACCUGCGGGUUCUAAGCGUAGUAAUUUCUCCUCGCUACAGAGCCUGCUGGUGGAUAGUGUAAAUCCAGUUAAUUCUGCGUGUCCUGCUAUUAAACCCCCAAUUUUAAAGGUUGACCUCGGAUCAAGUAGGGAUACCCGCUGAACUUAAGCAUAUCAAU
rnacentral:rRNA from 1 species